rnacentral:rRNA from 1 species
UACGAAGGGGGCGAGCGUUGUUCGGAAUUACUGGGCGUAAAGGGCGCGUAGGCGGCGACUCAAGUUAGAUGUGAAAGUCCUGGGCUUAACCUGGGGACUGCAUUUGAUACUGGGUUGCUUGAAUUCGGGAGAGGAUAGCGGAAUUCCCAGUGUAGAGGUGAAAUUCGUAGAUAUUGGGAAGAACACCGGUGGCGAAGGCGGCUAUCUGGACCGACAUUGACGCUGAGGCGCGAAAGCGUGGGGAGCAAACAGA